rnacentral:tRNA from 1 species
GUUUUAAUAAUUUAAUGAAAAUAUUGGUCUUGUAAACCAAAAAUAAGUAACAACUUUUAAAACU